AUUGAACGCUGGCGGCAGGCCUAACACAUGCAAGUCGAACGGUAACAGGAAGAAGCUUGCUUCUUUGCUGACGAGUGGCGGACGGGUGAGUAAUGUCUGGGAAACUGCCUGAUGGAGGGGGAUAACUACUGGAAACGGUAGCUAAUACCGCAUAACGUCGCAAGACCAAAGAGGGGGACCUUCGGGCCUCUUGCCAUCGGAUGUGCCCAGAUGGGAUUAGCUAGUAGGUGGGGUAACGGCUCACCUAGGCGACGAUCCCUAGCUGGUCUGAGAGGAUGACCAGCCACACUGGAACUGAGACACGGUCCAGACUCCUACGGGAGGCAGCAGUGGGGAAUAUUGCACAAUGGGCGCAAGCCUGAUGCAGCCAUGCCGCGUGUAUGAAGAAGGCCUUCGGGUUGUAAAUACUUUCAGCGGGGAGGAAGGGAGUAAAGUUAAUACCUUUGCUCAUUGACGUUACCCGCAGAAGAAGCACCGGCUAACUCCGUG
rnacentral:rRNA from 1 species